UGAAGGCCUUCGGGUCGUAAAACCCUGUCGGGUGGAACGAAUUCCCUCUUCGCUAACAUCGGAGAGGAUUGACGGUACCACCGAAGGAAGCCCCGGCUAACUACGUGC
rnacentral:rRNA from 1 species